rnacentral:rRNA from 1 species
CCUACGGGAGGCAGCAGUGAGGAAUAUUGGUCAAUGGCCGGAAGGCUGAACCAGCCAAGCCGCGUGAAGGACGAAGGUGCCAAGCAUUGUAAACUUCUUUUGGCAAGGGACAAAAUCAGGCUCGAGAGCCUGACCGAGGGUACUUGAAGAAAAAGCAGCGGCUAACUCCGUGCCAGCAGCCGCGGUAAUACGGAGGAUGCGAGCGUUAUCCGGUUGUAUUGGGGUUAAAGGGUGCGUAGGCGGGCUGUUAAGUCAGCGGUAAAAGCCCGGGGCUCAACCCCGGCGAGCCGUUGAAACUGGGUGUCUUGAGAUGUCGAGAGGCAUGCGGAAUGCGCAGUGUAGCGGUGAAAUGCUUAGAUAUUGCGCAGAACUCCGAUUGCGAAGGCAGAAUACCGGCGGCGAUCUGACGCUGAGGCACGAAAGCGUGGGUAUCGAACAGGAUUAGAUACCCUUGUAGUC